rnacentral:rRNA from 1 species
GAUGAACGCUAGCGGCAGGCUUAAUACAUGCAAGUCGAGGGGCAGCAGGGUGUAGCAAUAUCUGGUGACGACCGGCAAACGGGUGCGGAACACGUACAGAACCUUCCUUAAGCGGGGGAUAGCCCAUAGAAAUGUGGAUUAAUACCCAUAGUAAUAUUGUCUGGCAUCAGAUGGUAUUUAAAGAUUUAUCACUUAAAGAUGGCUGUGCGGCUGAUUAGGAGUUGGUGCGGGUAACGGCCCACCAAGCCUUCGAUCAGUAACUGGUGUGAGAGCACGACCAGUCACACGGGCACUGAGACACGGGCCCGACUCCUACGGGAGGCAGCAGUAAGGAAUAUUGGUCAAUGGACGCAAGUCUGAACCAGCCA